CGCGGGCAUGUGUGCGUGUGCCUGUGUGCACGCGCGUGUGUACACGCAUGUUGCUUCAGGUGCAAGGACUGUGGAAACUGUGGUGACCACGUGGAACGGGCAAGACCGGCGGCCCUGUCGGGAGGAGCACGAGGUAGAGGGUGGAAUCCCAGGAGGAGAGAAGCAGGUCCCAGCGGGAGUUUGGAGCCAGGACGGACAUCACCACUGGGGGCCAAGAGAAACGUCGUGUCUGGGCCCCCAGGUUGCUGGUCUGAGCACUACCGUGGGUCAAUGCCCUUUACUCCCAGGGGGCAGACCUGUGGCUGAGGGACAUCCCUGUGGGGCUUGGAGGGAAGCAUUCAAAGGGUGGGGGCCCCCUACCCCUGGGGGAGGCUCCCAGGGACAGACCCGGAGGUCCCCAGAGCAGAGCCCAGAGCAGGUGCUGGGGUAAAAGCCAGGGGUUCCAACGAGGGCAGUGGCUGCAAGCGGAGCCUGCCCCGGGCUCCAGGAAAGGAAAUGCUCUGCGGUGCGCGGCCACUCUCUGAGCAAGCCCAGCCCAGGGAGCCCUGGUGGAUGGCUGUGGGGUGGGGGAAGGGUGUUCCUCCCUCCCCAUACACUCCCUUCCUAAUGCCCUGGUCUGAACCUUGAACCCCCUCACCUGGACAGUGACGCUGCACCACAGAACCUUCCAGUAGUUGACAAGCUGACCAGAAAGUUAGAACUACCAAAAAUUCCCAGGCAGCCUUUGGGCGAGAGAGAGCCUGAAACUUCCUCCCUUGGAAGGGCCUGCUUCUGCCUCCAUCCCAGAAACAGGACGGCUCUGUCCUGAGAGUGUGGCACUGGCCCAGCCCGGGGGGGCGGCUGACCGAGAGGUGGAGGCGGACCUCCUCCCUGGGAGCAGGACGGAGGACAAGCGCGGCACGGGGUGGGCGGCCCGGCCGAGGGGGUCCAGGGUCUCAGGGAAGACAUCCCGGCCCUAAAGGCUUCCCCACGAAGGACAGGGAUAUGGCCCUCCCGAAGCCGAGUGACAUUUACUGAGGCCUGGGACCCCACAGCACACAGCUGCUCCAGCUGGGGCCUGCUUCCUGCCCUUUCCAGACUAACAGGGAGAAGGGACAUUGCCAGCAGCGUCCUGCCCUGCUCCCAGCAGGCGGCAGAUCUCAGGGGCGGUGCUGGCCCUCGGGAGGACACAAACCACCCCCCCAGCGCACACCUGCUUUCCUCCUCGGGGUGUCCGCGGCCACCUGUGCUGCCUGCUCCGAGCUGACCUCCCUCGUGAGCACAGACGAUGAUGGGCGCAAGGGCCUCACGCGCCAGCGGGGCAAGCCUGCCGGUGGGACGCUGUUCACCUUGCCGCCAGAGCACUCCAACGCCCUCGGCUGGGAUGUCCCCAAAGGGCUGCCCUCCUCAGGGGUAUCCCCACCUGGCCCCCCAACAUGGGGAUGUCUCUGUGGUCUGGCGGGGGGCGGGGUGUUGUUCCUCCUGGAGCACGAGGACACCCACCGGCUGGCAGGGCUCGGGCAGUGAAGAAGGGACACUGGGGCAGGGGCAGCGCCUGGCGGAACCGUCGGUAAAACAACUCUGUUUUCUUUAAGGUUUGAUUUAUUUAUUUGACAGAGAGACACAGCGAGAGAGGGAGCACAAG